rnacentral:rRNA from 1 species
AUGAACGCUGGCGGCGUGCCUCAUCCCUGCCAGUCGCGCGAACAGACGAGGAGCUUGCUCCUCUGACGUUAGCGGCGGACGGGUGAGUAACACGUGGAUAACCUACCUAUAAGACUGGGAUAACUUCGGGAAACCGGAGCUAAUACCGGAUAAUCUAUUGAACCGCAUGGUUCCAUAGUGAAAGACGGUUUUGCUGUCACUUAUAGAUGGAUCCGCGCCGCAUUAGCUAGUUGGUAAGGUAACGGCUUACCAAGGCAACGAUGCGUAGCCGACCUGAGAGGGUGAUCGGCCACACUGGAACUGAGACACGGUCCAGACUCCUACGGGAGGCAGCAGUAGGGAAUCUUCCGCAAUGGGCGAAAGCCUGACGGAGCAACGCCGCGUGAGUGAUGAAGGUCUUCGGAUCGUAAAACUCUGUUAUUAGGGAAGAACAAAUGUGUAAGUAACUAUGCACGUCUUGACGGUACCUAAUCAGAAAGCCACGGCUAACUACGUG